UGGGGAAUAUUGGACAAUGGGGGGAACCCUGAUCCAGCGAUGCCGCGUGUGUGAAGAAGGCCUGCGGGUUGUAAAGCACUUUCAGUUGGGAAGAGGAAGGUAAUUCUAAAAGAGUUACUGGAAGACGUUACUAACAGAAGAAGCACCGGCUAACUCUGUGCCAGCAGCCGCGGUAAUACAGAGGGUGCGAGCGUUAAUCGGAGUGACUGGGCGUAAAGGGCACGUAGGCGGUUUAUUUAGUCUGAUGUGAAAUAACUAGGCUUAACCUGGUAUGUGCAUUGGAAACGGAUAGGCUAGAGUAUUGGAGAGGGAAGUGGAAUUUCCGGUGUAGCGGUGAAAUGCGUAGAGAUCGGAAAGAACACUCGUGGCGAAGGCGACUUCCUGGCCAAAGACUGACGCUGAGGUGCGAAAGCGUGGGUAGCAAACAGGAUUAGAUACCCCCGUAGUCC
rnacentral:rRNA from 1 species